rnacentral:rRNA from 1 species
GACGAACGCUGGCGGCGUGCUUAACACAUGCAAGUCGAACGAAGAGCGAUGGAAGCUUGCUUCUAUCAAUCUUAGUGGCGAACGGGUGAGUAACGCGUAAUCAACCUGCCCUUCAGAGGGGGACAACAGUUGGAAACGACUGCUAAUACCGCAUACGAUCCAAUCUCGGCAUCGGGACUGGAUGAAAGGUGGCCUCUAUUUAUAAGCUAUCACUGAAGGAGGGGAUUGCGUCUGAUUAGCUAGUUGGAGGGGUAACGGCCCACCAAGGCGAUGAUCAGUAGCCGGUCUGAGAGGAUGAACGGCCACAUUGGGACUGAGACACGGCCCAGACUCCUACGGGAGGCAGCAGUGGGGAAUCUUCCGCAAUAGACGAAAGUCUGACGGAGCAACGCCGCGUGAGUGAUGAUGGCCUUCGGGUUGUAAAGCUCUGUUAAUCGGGACGAAUGGUUCUUGUGCGAAUAGUGCGAGGAUUUGACGGUACCGGAAUAGAAAGCCACGGCUAACUACGUG